rnacentral:rRNA from 1 species
CUACGGAGGGGGUUAGCGUUGUUCGGAAUUACUGGGCGUAAAGCGCACGUAGGCGGAUCGGAAAGUAAGAGGUGAAAUCCCAGGGCUCAACCCUGGAACUGCCUUUUAAACUAUCGGUCUAGAGUUCGAGAGAGGUGAGUGGAAUUCCAAGUGUAGAGGUGAAAUUCGUAGAUAUUUGGAGGAACACCAGUGGCGAAGGCGGCUCACUGGCUCGAUACUGACGCUGAGGUGCGAAAGCGUGGGGAGCAAACAGGAUUAGAUACCCUAGUAGUCC